CCUACGGGUGGCAGCAGUGGGGAAUAUUGGACAAUGGGGGCAACCCUGAUCCAGCCAUGCCGCGUGUGUGAAGAAGGCCCUCGGGUUGUAAAGCACUUUCAGUGAGGAAGAACGCCUGGUGGUUAAUACCCAUCAGGAAAGACAUCACUCACAGAAGAAGCAUCGGCUAACUCCGUGCCAGCAGCCGCGGUAAUACGGAGGGUGCGAGCGUUAAUCGGAAUUACUGGGCGUAAAGCGCGCGUAGGUGGCUUGAUAAGCCGGUUGUGAAAGCCCCGGGCUCAACCUGGGAACGGCAUCCGGAACUGUCAAGCUAGAGUGCAGGAGAGGAAGGUAGAAUUCCCGGUGUAGCGGUGAAAUGCGUAGAGAUCGGGAGGAAUACCAGUGGCGAAGGCGGCCUUCUGGACUGACACUGACACUGAGGUGCGAAAGCGUGGGUAGCAAACAGGAUUAGAUACCCUGGUAGUC
rnacentral:rRNA from 1 species